UACGGAGGGUGCGAGCGUUGUCCGGAAUCACUGGGCGUAAAGGGCGCGUAGGCGGUCCCCUCAGCGGGCGGUGAAAGCCCGGGGCUCAACCCCGGGUCGGCCGUGCGAACUGGGGGACUCGAGCACAGUAGAGGCAGAUGGAAUUCCGGGUGUAGCGGUGGAAUGCGUAGAGAUCCGGAAGAACACCGGUGGCGAAGGCGGUCUGCUGGGCUGUGGCUGACGCUGAGGCGCGACAGCGUGGGGAGCAAAC
rnacentral:rRNA from 1 species